AGCGAACGCUGGCGGCAGGCUUAACACAUGCAAGUCGAGCGGGCACCUUCGGGUGUCCGCGGCAGACGGGUGAGUAACACGUGGGAACGUACCCUUCGGUUCGGAAUAACGCUGGGAAACUAGCGCUAAUACCGGAUACGCCCUUAUGGGGAAAGGUUUACUGCCGAAGGAUCGGCCCGCGUCUGAUUAGCUAGUUGGUGGGGUAACGGCCUACCAAGGCGACGAUCAGUAGCUGGUCUGAGAGGAUGAUCAGCCACACUGGGACUGAGACACGGCCCAGACUCCUACGGGAGGCAGCAGUGGGGAAUAUUGGACAAUGGGCGCAAGCCUGAUCCAGCCAUGCCGCGUGAGUGAUGAAGGCCUUAGGGUUGUAAAGCUCUUUUGUCCGGGACGAUAAUGACGGUACCGGAAGAAUAAGCCCCGGCUAACUUCGU
rnacentral:rRNA from 1 species